rnacentral:rRNA from 1 species
UACGGGGGGGGCUAGCGUUGUUCGGAAUUACUGGGCGUAAAGGGCGCGUAGGCGGUCUGCUAAGUUGGAUGUGAAAACUCUGGGCUUAACCCAGAGCCUGCAUUCAAUACUGACAGGCUAGAGUUCUGGAGGGGAUAGCGGAAUUCCUGGUGUAGCGGUGAAAUGCGUAGAUAUCAGGAGGAACACCGGUGGCGAAGGCGGCUAUCUGGACAGAAACUGACGCUGAGGCGCGGAAGCCAGGGGAGCAAACGGG